rnacentral:rRNA from 1 species
ACACCCGUUCCCAUUCCGAACACGGCCGUGAAAUGCCCCAGCGCUGAUGGUACUUUGUCUUAAGGCACGGGAGAGUAAGUCGCUGCCAGGU